UGGGGAAUAUUGGACAAUGGGGGCAACCCUGAUCCAGCAAUGCCGCGUGUGUGAAGAAGGCCUUCGGGUUGUAAAGCACUUUUAUCGGGAACGAAACAUUGUCGGCCAAUACCCGGCAAGACUGACGGUACCCGAGGAAUAAGCACCGGCUAACUCCGUGCCAGCAGCCGCGGUAAUACGUAGGGGGCAAGCGUUGUCCGGAUUUAUUGGGCGUAAAGCGCUCGCAGGUGGUUCGAUGCGUCGUGCGUGAAAGCCCCCGGCUCAACUGGGGAGUGUCGUGCGAUACGGUCGAACUGGAGGCCAGUAGGGGGAUGUGGAAUUCCGGGUGUAGUGGUGGAAUGCGUAGAGAUCCGGAGGAACACCAGCGGCGAAGGCGGCAUCCUGGACUGGUCCUGACACUCAUGAGCGAAAGCGUGGGGAGCGAUC
rnacentral:rRNA from 1 species